rnacentral:rRNA from 1 species
UACGUAGGUGGCAAGCGUUGUUCGGAAUUAUUGGGCGUAAAGGGCUCGUAGGCGGCCAACUAAGUCAGACGUGAAAUCCCCAGGCUUAACUUGGGAACUGCGUCUGAUACUGGAUGGCUUGAGUUUGGGAGAGGGAUGCGGAAUUCCAGGUGUAGCGGUGAAAUGCGUAGAUAUCUGGAGGAACACCGGUGGCGAAGGCGACAUCCUGGACCAACACUGACGCUGAGGAGCGAAAGCCAGGGGAGCAAACGGG